UCCGCCCGGCGGGGCAGGGCUGGGAGGCCCCGAACCUGCCCAGCGGCACCGGGCCGGCGUGGGGCGCGGGUCUGGGUCUGCGCCUGCGUCUGGGUGGGGUGGCAGAGGCCCCAGGGGACGGGAUCGAUGAUUUCAGGGCCUGCAGGACAGACUUUGUAUUGCCUGACCCUAUUUCACAGCACUGCGGUGGGCCACAUCAGCACCGAGGGAAAUGAAGAUUUCAUGAAACAGACGUGCAGUGCUGCUGUGUGCACUGAUGUCUCCAGCUCAGCCCCCGACCUGGCUGCUGCUCUGAGGGACAGGCAGACAUGGGAUGAAAGAAAGCACAGCCAAGAACCUGCAGAUCUGACAAUAAGCAUUCGCGUCUGCCCUCUUCUGUUUAAUACCCCCUCAGGAAAUGAAUGAGUGGUACUCAGAUUUCCUGACUUUAAUCAAGCUUCCACAGAACAUGCCAAGAAUGUGAGACAUUGCGGGGAAAGAGAGGGGAACUGCAAAAGAAGUGCUAUGUUUCGCGGUGAAGGAGGCGGACUUGAGGAGUGCUGACUCUGGAUGUGACCCCACAUCAAACUGGGAAGAAUGAUUUAUAUUGGAGCCUUCUUUAUGAGAAGCACCCUCACACCCAACACAGAGACACAGAGGGGGGAAAAAGAACCUAGCCAAGGCAACUAUUUAAUAUUUCGUGUGGAAGUCAUUCAGGAUAAAUUCAUCAGAUGAUGAAAAGAUCAGUUCACCUCCCAAGGAAAAAAACAAGCGACAGCCGUGAUUAAAACCCUCAGCUUUGUGGUGAGAACUUCUUGGUGAAGGCAGCUAUUUUGGACCCACCUGCGCUUAAAUUCCUUUUGAGAACCGGCCCGCACACCCGAGCAGCAGCAGCAGCCUGUUAUUGCAGAGGGUUUCCAUUUCUGGGUCACGAACGCACGGCAUUUAACCCCACCUCCUCUCACUAAAGCGCACACAGCGGGAACAUAUGCGGCGCGGAGCAUCACAUCAGUCUUACGUCGGGCUGAUGUUCGCCUGGGGACAGCUCCUCGGCCCGGCGGCUCGAGGGGAUCGGUGCGGGGCUGCACACGGGGGCCGAGCUCGCGUGGGCCCCGGGGCUGCCUUGGGAGUGCUGGCUUCCGGCUGGGCACCCGCCGGCCCUUCGCUCGCAGGGGCUCCCGUCCCGUCGGGGAGAGCUUUCCCUCCUGGAAACAGCAAGUUCCCGGCGCCAAACGCAGACCCGCUGAAAGAGGACUUAGCCGCUUGCCCCCCUCUGGCCCCUAGACGAUCCGCUAGCCACCUCCGUGGCGCCAGGCGAGGGGAGGGACGGGACGGCACGGGACGGGACGGGACGGGACGGGACGGGACGGGACGGGGCGGCCGCUCCCCGCUCCCCUCCGGCAACCCGCAGCCGCUCCGCGCAGCCCUGCGCACAGCUUGGGGGAGGCUUCCCCCCGGGCUCAGCGCCGAUCACGUUGAUCUUCAUAGGAAAUGAGCGCCGGCGGGAGCGGGAUUCACCGCACAGCGGUGCGGGGUGACAGGCUUCAGGUGUUCCAUGAUGAAAACCCUGAUAUCGCCCCUCCCGGGAGCGCAGCCCUGGAGCCAGAGGGAUUUUUGCUCUCCUGGAAUUUCAAAAGCGUGCGAGGCCUCUCUCUCUGUCUCUGUCUCUGUUUUUGUUUUUGUUUUUGUUUUUUUUUUCUUUUUUGCACCAGCGGUAAACCUCGGCACGGCGCAGGCUGCAGGGCGGGCCGGGGUGGGUGCCAGGGGCUUCCCCCAGACCGGGCACGGCCCUGCGCGCAGCCGAGUGCGGUGUCCGCGUCCCCGGGGCGAGCCCUGAAGCCCUGGGGCUGCUCGGGAGAACGCGGCUGCGGGAAACCCUUCCCCGCAGGCAGCGGAAUGUGCGCGCCCGGCGUUGGCUUCAGACCCCUCGGGGCACGCGUUUAAACGCAGCGGUGACAAAUGCCCUUUCUCGGGCAGAAGUAGCUCUGCGGUGGGCAGCGCAGUUUAACACGAGAAGGAGUUACCUUCAUCCUGAUAUUUCGGAUGCGGCUUACUUCAAAUCCGAUUUUUUAGGAGAGUUCAUUCUGAGAACGAUUUAGAGAGGUCAGUUAAUUAGAAAGACGCCCUCUUUCCAGUUAGAAAAUAAUAAUAAAAAGUCGUGAUAAAAAUA